rnacentral:rRNA from 1 species
GACGAACGCUGGCGGCGUGCCUAAUACAUGCCAGUUGAGCGAUGAAGCUUGGUGCUUGCACCAAUUUGAAGAGCAGCGAACGGGUGAGUAACGCGUGGGGAAUCUGCCUUUGAGCGGGGGACAACAUUUGGAAACGAAUGCUAAUACCGCAUAACAACUUUAAACAUAAGUUUUAAGUUUGAAAGAUGCAAUUGCAUCACUCAAAGAUGAUCCCGCGUUGUAUUAGCUAGUUGGUGAGGUAAAGGCUCACCAAGGCGAUGAUACAUAGCCGACCUGAGAGGGUGAUCGCCCACAUUGGACUGAGACACGGCCCAAACUCCUACGGGAGGCAGCAGUAGGGAAUCUUCGGCAAUGGACGAAAGUCUGACCGAGCAACGCCGCGUGAGUGAAGAAGGUUUUCGGAUCGUAAAACUCUGUUGGUAGAGAAGAACGUUGGUGAGAGUGGAAAGCUCAUCAAGUGACGGUAACUACCCAGAAAGGGACGGCUAACUACGUG